ACUGAACGCUGGCGGCAGGCUUAACACAUGCAAGUCGAGCGGAGAGAAGUAGCUUGCUACUGAUCUUAGCGGCGGACGGGUGAGUAAUGCUUAGGAAUCUGCCUAUUAGUGGGGGACAACAUUUCGAAAGGAAUGCUAAUACCGCAUACGUCCUACGGGAGAAAGCAGGGGAUCUUCGGACCUUGCGCUAAUAGAUGAGCCUAAGUCGGAUUAGCUAGUUGGUGGGGUAAAGGCCUACCAAGGCGACGAUCUGUAGCGGGUCUGAGAGGAUGAUCCGCCACACUGGGACUGAGACACGGCCCAGACUCCUACGGGAGGCAGCAGUGGGGAAUAUUGGACAAUGGGCGGAAGCCUGAUCCAGCCAUGCCGCGUGUGUGAAGAAGGCCUUAUGGUUGUAAAGCACUCUAAGCGAGGAGGAGGCUACUUUAGUUAAUACCUAGAGAUAGUGGACGUUACUCGCAGAAUAAGCACCGGCUAACUCUGUGCCAGCAGCCGCCGUAACAC
rnacentral:rRNA from 1 species